rnacentral:rRNA from 1 species
UACGAAGGGGGCUAGCGUUGCUCGGAAUCACUGGGCGUAAAGGGCGCGUAGGCGGCCUGAUCAGUCGGGGGUGAAAGCCUGUGGCUCAACCACAGAAUGGCCUUCGAUACUGUCGGGCUUGAGACCGGAAGAGGUAAGUGGAACUGCGAGUGUAGAGGUGAAAUUCGUAGAUAUUCGCAAGAACACCGGUGGCGAAGGCGGCAUCCUGGACCGACAUUGACGCUGAGGAGCGAAAGCUAGGGGAGCAAACGGG